ensembl:snRNA U1 U1 spliceosomal RNA
AUACUUACCUGGCAGGGGAAAUACUACGCUCAGGAAGGUGGUUUUCCCAGGGUGCGGCCCGCCCAUUGCACUGUGGGUGCGCUGAUCCCUGCGAUUUCCUCAAGUAGAGGAAACUCGACUGCACAAUUUGUGGUAGUGGGGGACUGCGUGCGCGCUUUCCCCUG